AGCAUAUAAGUAAGCGGGGGAAAAGGAACUAAAUAGGAUUCCCUCAGUAAUGGCGAAUGAACAGGGAUGAACUCAGGCUGGAAACCGAUACAUCUGUGUCGGGCUGUAGCCUGCAGGCGUAGCGCUGUCGGCGGCUCGAGCGCAAGCCUCUUGGAAUAGAGCGUGUGCCCGGGUGAGAAUCCUGCAUUUCGCUCGAUGUCCGCUGUCCACAGUGCUUGUCCUGAGAGUCACGCUCCUCGGAAUAGGAGCGUAAAUCAGGUGGUAGGCUUCAUCCAAAGCUAAAUAGAAGCUCGAGACCAAUAGCAAACAAGUACCAUGAGGGAAAGAUGAAAAGGACUUUGGAAAGAGAGUUAAAAGUGUUUGAAAUUGCUGAGAGCGAAGCGAACGGAGCCACAUGUCGUGCUGAGAUUGCUGUGGGUCUUUGUGUGCCUUGAGCAUGUAAGCGCAAGCUGACUGCUUAUGUGUGAGCAUUUGCCCGCAGUGUUUCUCAGCAUGCGAGUCAUUAGCCACAUUUGUUUGAGGAUGGCCUUCAGCUCACAUGGUACACUUGUUAGUGUUCCUCUGUGCGGUGUGGGACUCAGACAGGUGUGGCUUGUGACC
rnacentral:rRNA from 1 species